UACGUAGGGGCCGAGCGUUGUCCGGAGUUAUUGGGCGUAAAGCGCGCGCAGGCGGCUUCGCGCGUCCGACGUGAAGGCCCCCGGCUUAACCGGGGAGGGUCGUUGGGUACGGCGGAGCUUGAGGGCGGGAGAGGGUGGUGGAAUUCCCGGUGUAGUGGUGAAAUGCGUAGAGAUCGGGAGGAACACCUGUGGCGAAGGCAGCCAUCUGGACCGACACUGACGCUGAGGCGCGAAAGCUAGGGGAGCAAACGGG
rnacentral:rRNA from 1 species